AUUGAACGCUGGCGGCAGGCUUAACACAUGCAAGUCGAGCGGAGAGAGGUAGCUUGCUACUGAUCUUAGCGGCGGACGGGUGAGUAAUGCUUAGGAAUCCGCCUAUUAGUGGGGGACAACAUUUCGAAAGGAAUGCUAAUACCGCAUACGUCCUACGGGAGAAAGCAGGGGAUCUUCGGACCUUGCGCUAAUAGAUGAGCCUAAGUCGGAUUAGCUAGUUGGUGGGGUAAAGGCCUACCAAGGCGACGAUCUGUAGCGGGUCUGAGAGGAUGAUCCGCCACAAUGGGACUGAGACACGGCCCAGACUCCUACGGGAGGUAGCAGUGGGGAAUAUUGGACAAUGGGCGGAAGCCUGAUCCAGCCAUGCCGCGUGUGUGAAGAAGGCCUUAUGGUUGUAAAGCACUUUAAGCGAGGAGGAGGCUACUUUAGUUAAUACCUAGAGAUAGUGGACGUUACUCGCAGAAUAAGCACCGGCUAACUCUGUGCCAGCCGCCGCCGUAAGAC
rnacentral:rRNA from 1 species